rnacentral:rRNA from 1 species
GACGAACGCUGGCGGCGUGCUUAACACAUGCAAGUCGAACGGAAAGGCCCUGCUUUUGUGGGGUGCUCGAGUGGCGACCGGGUGGGUAACACGUGAGUAACCUGCCCUUGCCUUUGGGAUAACUUCAGGAAACUGGGGCUAAUACCGGAUAGGAGCUCCUGCUGCAUGGUGGGGGUUGGAAAGUUUCGGCGGUUGGGGAUGGACUCGCGGCUUAUCAGCUUGUUGGUGGGGUAGUGGCUUACCAAGGCUUUGACGGGUAGCCGGCCUGAGCGGGUGACCGGCCACAUUGGGACUGAGAUACGGCCCGGACUCCUACGGGAGGCAGCGGUGGGGAAUAUUGCACUAUGGGCGGAAGCCUGAUGCAGCAACGCCGCGUGCGGGAUGAAGGCCUUCGGGUUGUAAACCGCUUUCGCCUGUGACGAAGCGUGAGUGACGGUAAUGGGUAAAGAAGCACCGGCUAACUACGUG